UCGCCAGUGGCGAAGGCGCUCCGCUAGAACGGGUCCGACGGUGAGGGACGAAGACCAGGGGAGCGAACCGGAUUAGAUACCCGGGUAGUCCUGGCUGUAAAGGAUGCGGGCUAGGUGUCGGGUGAGCUUCGAGCUCGCCCGGUGCCGAAGGGAAGCCGUUAAGCCCGCCGCCUGGGGAGUACGGCCGCAAGGCUGAAACUUAAAGGAAUUGGCGGGGGAGCACUACAAGGGGUGGAGCGUGCGGUUUAAUUGGAUUCAACGCCGGGAACCUCACCGGGGGCGACGGCAGGAUGAAGGCCAGGCUGAAGGUCUUGUCGGACACGCCGAGAGGAGGUGCAUGGCCGCCGUCAGCUCGUACCGUGAGGCGUCCACUUAAGUGUGGUAACGAGCGAGACCCGCGCCCCCAGUUGCCAGUCCUUCCCGCUGGGGAGGAGGCACUCUGGGGGACCGCCGGCGAUAAGCCGGAGGAAGGAGCGGUCGACGGUAGGUCAGUAUGCCCCGAAACCCCCGGGCUACACGCGCGCUACAAUGAGCGGGACAAUGGGAUCCGACCCCGAAAGGGGAAGGGAAUCCCCUAAACCCGCUCCCAGUUCGGAUUGCGGGCUGCAACUCGCCCGCAUGAAGCUGGAAUCCCUAGUACCCGCGUGUCAUCAU
rnacentral:rRNA from 1 species